AGGAAGCCAGACAUAUAAUCUCCUUAUGGGACUUUGGGGGGAAGUUUCUUUUUGUAUCAGAUCAGAGACACUUACUCAGUGUUAUCGAGGUAAAUCAAAGCUAUGGCAAAGCUCUUUAUUGAAUGAAAUCAAAGCACGGGGGAAUGGCCUGGGAAUGAAGAGUAACAGGUACUCACAGGUACGGUUGUAAGAUUCAUGACAGGUGCGGGCGAUUUCAGCUCCAAGUUCAAGGUAGUGUUGGGCCAGGGCUUCGGGAGCUCCAUCUGCCCCGAGUGCAAACAUGCCCCCUGCAAAGCAUGUCAAGUGGCCCAUUUUGUGUUCCAGGAGGCCCCCUUUCCACUCUGCAAUGUAUGUUAGUCCCCCGCUGGACUUGCGGAUCAGACAUGGUUUUGCCACAGAUCACUGGUUGCCUUGAACUCACUAUGUAGCGUAAGAUGGCGUCUCACAGCAAUUCUCCUGCCUCAGCUUCUUGAGUGCUGACAUAUGGG